UACGUAGGGUGCAAGCGUUGUCCGGAAUUAUUGGGCGUAAAGAGCUCGUAGGCGGCUUGUCGCGUCGGAUGUGAAAGUCCGGGGCUCAACUCCGGAUCUGCGGUGGGUACGGGCAGACUAGAGUGAUGUAGGGGAGACUGGAAUUCCUGGUGUAGCGGUGAAAUGCGCAGAUAUCAGGAGGAACACCGAUGGCGAAGGCAGGUCUCUGGGCAUUAACUGACGCUGAGGAGCGAAAGCAUGGGGAGCGAACAGG
rnacentral:rRNA from 1 species